rnacentral:lncRNA from 1 species
UGAGUGAUUUCGAACUCGAAGUAAUGUAGCCAGUAGGCUUAAUAGUCGAGUGAGCGAUUUUGAACUCGAAGUAAUGUAGCCUGUAGGCUUAAUAGUCGAGUGAGUGAUUUCGAACUCGAUGUAAUGUAGCCCGUAGGCUUAGUAGUCGAGUGAGAGAUUUCGAACUCGAAGUAAUGUAGCCCAUAGGCUUAGUAGUCGAGUGAGUGAUUUCGAACUCGAAGUAAUGUAGCUCGUAGGCUUAAUAGUCGAGUAAGCGAUUUCGAACUCGAAGUAAUGUAGCCCGUAGGCAUAAUAGUCGAGUGAGUGAUUUUGAACUCGAAGUAAUGUAGCCCAUAGGCUUAGUAGUCGAGUGAGUGAUUUCAAACUCGAAGUAAUGUAGCCUGUAGGCUUAGUAGUCGAGUGAGUGAUUUCGAACCAGAAGUAAUGUAGCCCGUAGGCUUAAUAGUCGAGUUAGCGAUUUCGAACUCGAAGUAAUGUAGCCCGUAGGCUUAGUAGUCGAGUGAGUAAUUCGAACUCGAAGUAAGGUAACCCAAAGGCUUAAUAGUCGAGUGAGUGAUUUCGAACUCGAAGUAAUGCAGCUUGUAGGCUUAGUAGUCGAGUGAGUGAUUUCGAACUAGAAGUAAUCUAGGCCGUAGGCUUAAUAGUCAAGUGAGUGAUUUCGAACUCGAAGUAAUGUAGGUUGUAGGCUUAGUAGUCGAGUGAGUGAUUUCAAACUCGAAGUAAUGUAGCCCGUAGGCUUAGUAGUCGAGUGAGUGAUUUCGAACUCGAAUUAAUUAGCCCGUAGGCUUAGUAGUCGAGUGAGUGAUUUCGAACUCGAAGUAAUGUAGCCCGUAGGCUUAGUAGUCGAGUGAGUGAUUUCGAACUCGAAGUAAUGUAGCCCGUAGGCUUAAUAGUCAAGUGAGUGAUUUCGAACUCGAAGUAAUGUAGCUCGUAGGCUUAGUAGUCGAGUGAGUGAUUUCAAACUCGAAGUAAUGCAGCCUGUAGGCUUAGUAGUCGAGUGAGUGAUUUCGAACUCGAAGUAAUCUAGCCCGUAGGCUUAAUAGUCAAGUGAGUGAUUUCGAACUCGAAUAAUGUAGCCCGUAGGCUUAGUAGUCUAGUGAGUGAUUUCAAACUCGAAGUAAUGUAGCCCGUAGGCUUAAUAGUCGAGUGAGUGAUUUCGAACUCGAAGUAAUGUAGCCCGUAGGCUUAAUAGUCGAGUGAGUGAUUUCGAACUCGAAGUAAUGUAGCCCGUAGGCUUAAUAGUCGAGUGAGCAAUUUCGAACUCGAAGUAAUGUAGCACGUAGGCUUA